AAAGUCGUAACAAGGUCUCCGUUGGUGAACCAGCGGAGGGAUCAUUACCGAGUAUCUACUCAUAACCCUUUGUGAACCAUAUUGUUGCUUCGGCGGCUCGUCCGCGAGCCCGCCGGUACAUCAGUCUCUUUAUUUUUACCAACGAUACUUCUGAGUGUUCUUAGCGAACUAUUAAAACUUUUAACAACGGAUCUCUUGGCUCUA
rnacentral:misc_RNA from 1 species